CUGAAAAAUCACUGCUACAAAUAACUGACUCUCCUGCUACAAUAUCUGAAAAACAAAGAAGAUUAGGAAAAGAAAGUGAGAAAGAAAAAAGAAGAAGAAGAAAAGAAGCUUGAUUGUAGAUUUAUGGGUNNNNNNNNUCCCAUUUUGUAGAGUAAAGACAAAUAAAAAUCUCCAUCCCCUAGGAAAGGAAAUGCCAGCUAUU
rnacentral:misc_RNA from 1 species